UGGAUCCAGACUUUGAUUAUGGCUCAGGAUGAACGCUAGCGACAGGCCUAACACAUGCAAGUCGAGGGGCAGCGGGGGAGCGUGCUUGCACGCUCCUGCCGGCGACCGGCGCACGGGUGAGUAACGCGUAUGCAACCUGCCCGUUCCAGCGGGAUAACCCGGGGAAAUCCGGACUAAUACCGCAUGCGACCUUCAGGAGGCAUCUCCUUUAGGUCAAAGGGGCGACCCGGGAACGGAUGGGCAUGCGUGACAUUAGCUAGUUGGCGGGGUAACGGCCCACCAAGGCGACGAUGUCUAGGGGUUCUGAGAGGAAGGUCCCCCACACUGGUACUGAGACACGGACCAGACUCCUACGGGAGGCAGCAGUGAGGAAUAUUGGUCAAUGGGCGAGUGCCUGAACCAGCCAAGUCGCGUGAGGGAUGACGGCCCUACGGGUUGUAAACCUCCUUUGCCGGGGAGCAAUGCUCCGCACGAGUGCGGAGCGGGAGAGUACCCGGAGAAAAAGCAUCGGCUAACUCCGUGCCAGCAGCCGCGGUAAUACGGAGGAUGCGAGCGUUAUCCGGAUUUAUUGGGUUUAAAGGGUGCGUAGGCGGAACGCCAAGUCAGCGGUAAAAAUUCGGGGCUCAACCCCGUCGUGCCGUUGAAACUGGUGUCCUUGAGUGGGCGAGAAGUAUGCGGAAUGCGUGGUGUAGCGGUGAAA
rnacentral:rRNA from 1 species